GCAUAUCAUAACUGACAUUUGGACCCUACAUGGUACAAAUUCAUUUGAAAAGUAAAGAAAAUUGAUACUAAUAAAAUGUAGGUUAACCAUCAAUAUCAUACCUUCUCUUUUUAUGCUUCUACAAUAUCCCGACGGGCCAAUCAAAAAGCUGACCUAACCAUAAAAAGAGUUUUUAAUCCAAGGGUUCUUGGAGUCAAAUCCAUGCCACCACACAACCAUUUCAACAUUCCCUCUGCAAUAGCAAAAGGGAAAGGGACCUGGCGUGGAGCUCAUUGGCCGCGGAGGAAAGUUGCAUCGGAGAAUUUAGGGAUCCGGCCAAAGGAAAUGU